rnacentral:SRP_RNA from 1 species
GCUGGGCAUGGUGGCGCAUGCCUGUAAUCUCAGCUACUUGGGAGGCUGAGGCAGGAGAAUCGCUUGAACCCAGGAGGCGGAGGUUGUGGUGAGCCGAGAUCGUGCCACUGCACUCCAGCCUGGGCAACAGAGUGAGACUCUGUCUCCA